rnacentral:lncRNA from 1 species
AUGUUUCUAUCACAUGUACAUAUUCAAACAAUGGACCAUUGUCAUCAGUAGCCAGUAUCUAUAAUAAAGAGGUACAUACUGACUGGAAUUCAUUUUAUCAUAUACUAAAGGUCAUAUAAGAGACUAUACUAGAUAUCAGCUACUGAAUGAUGAAUACCUUCCAGUGUUUGGUCCUUGUUGCUGCUAUUGGAUUCAUCAUUACUACUACUACUACAGUGUCUGCUGCAGAAAACAUUUGCUACAGUGAUACAGAAUGCCAGGAUAAUGUAACUGCAUCUGAUCACUGCUGUGGUAUCCCUGGAGUCAAAGCUUUUGGAGUAUUUAUAACACCGUUUAAUAUAAUGUGCAUGAGGUGCUAGCAGUAGCUGAGAGAUCAAGAAGGUCUGAGAAGGAACUGUACUUUCAAUAAAUAAAUUAAUAUUUACUAACAAUAAAUAAAUAUUUUAAAAUUGAUAAUAAA